UGGGGAAUAUUGCACAAUGGAGGGAACUCUGAUGCAGCGACGCCGCGUGAACGAAGAAGGCUUUCGAGUCGUAAGGUUCUUUUAUAUGGGAAGAUAAUGACGGUACCAUAAGAAGAAGCCCCGGCUAACUACGUGCCAGCAGCCGCGGUAAUACGUAGGGGGCUAGCGUUGUCCGGAAUCACUGGGCGUAAAGGGUUCGCAGGCGGAAAUGCAAGUCAGGUGUAAAAGGCAGUAGCUUAACUACUGUAAGCAUUUGAAACUGCAUAUCUUGAGAAGAGUAGAGGUAAGUGGAAUUUUUAGUGUAGCGGUGAAAUGCGUAGAUAUUAAAAAGAAUACCGGUGGCGAAGGCGACUUACUGGGCUCAUUCUGACGCUGAGGAACGAAAGCGUGGGUAGCAAACAGG
rnacentral:rRNA from 1 species